AUACGUAGGGGGCGAGCGUUGCCCGGAAUGAUUGGGCGUAAAGGGCGCGUAGGCGGCUUGUUAAGUCUGGAGUGGAAGUCCUCUUUUCAAUGGAGGAAUUGCUUUGGAAACUGGCGGACUUGAGUGCAGGAGAGGUUAUCGGAAUUCCCGGUGUAGCGGUGAAAUGCGUAGAGAUCGGGAGGAACACCAGUGGCGAAGGCGGGUAACUGGACUGCAACUGACGCUGAGGCGCGAAAGUGUGGGGAGCAAACAGGAUUAGAUACCCUGGUAGUCCACACUGUAAACGAUGAGUGCUAGGUGUAGGAGGUAUCGACCCCUUCUGUGCCGGAGUAAACGCAAUAAGCACUCCGCCUGGGGAGUACGGUCGCAAGAUUAAAACUCAAAGGAAUUGACGGGG
rnacentral:rRNA from 1 species